rnacentral:lncRNA from 1 species
GGGAACGAAACUAAACCUGUGAACAUUGGGGUUUUUAGAGUGAGAAAGGGGAAAAGUAAGGCUACUCAUUUGGGGUUUUUAGAGUGAGAAAGCCGAAGAUGGUGAAGCGUGAAAAGCAUGAGGAAAUGGAGGAAGCACGAAGAAGGCAACGAAUGGGUGGGAAAAUUGCAGAAGGUGAGGAAAAGAGGGCAGUGACUAGCUGCGAACGACUGAGAAGAAGAGGGGAGUGUGGCGAGAUGAGGGCAGCGCAAUGGCGGAGAUGGAGGUGAGGGAGUUGCAAGUUGUGGAGCAGCAAAGUGGAGGUCACGAAGAUGGCGGAGAUGGUGGCGGAAAUGGGGCAGCAGGGUGACGGAAAUGGCAGGGAUGGCGGUGGUUGCAGGCGAGCGGUGGUGGUUGGAGUGGAGAGAUGGUGGCGACCGGGAGCAGAGCAGGUGACAGGGGUGGAGACGCGUGGAGGAGAUGUGGUCGAGAGAGGUGGAGAUGGGGAGAGAUUAGGGGAGGAGCUGCGUGAACAGCAGAUGGGUGGAAGUAGCAACGGUUUAGAGAGAGAGAGCAGCGAGGUGAACAGGAGCAGGGACUUUAGAGACAGAGCGGCGAGGUGAAUGACGGGGAAGAAGGUUGUAAGUGGUGGUGGAAGAAAGGGCUGAGAUUGAGGGUAGCUCAGCUGUGGAGGAGAAGGCUUGAUGGACUAGGGAGAUGGUUGUGGAUGGUGUGACGAGAAAGAGGAGGCCAUUGGUGGACGAGAAAGGGGCUGAAUUUUGGGUACAGUGAAAAGGAGGGGAGUGGCUGAGGUUGCAGGGGAGAGGUUGCGAUGAAGAGAGAUGGUUGAGGUGGUUCGUGAGUGGACGAGAGCUGACGGAGCGAUGAGAGGUAAGGGGCUCGGCAGUGAAGGGUAGCAGAGGUAGAAAGAGAUGAUGAAUGGUUAGAGAGAGAGCAACAGUAGGGUAGGAGAGGGAAGCAGGGCAAUGGUGUGAAGAGGGGCACACGGCGAUGGUGUGGAGAGGGGCACACGGUGAUGGGUGGAGUUCACGCGCGGCGAUGAGUUGAUUUCACCGGAC